AUGGAAAGUUUUCAAGAACUAAAGGCAGUAGAAAUAAAUCCUGGGGCGGAGUGUUCGAUAGACAGAGUGAAAAAUCAUUCGAGAUAUUUACAAACGUGGAGCCGAGGGAAAAGAUUUCCCUAUAUAUGGCUUUUGUGCAGAAAGAGACAGAAACUCACUUCAUACCUAAACCUUUUUUUCUGGCACUUCUUGAUAGCUAAGCCAUUAAGGCUACAUGAGGAUCUGCAUUCUCUGACACAUGACAGAGUUACUGUUUUGUAUUUGUUUUGUUGUGGGAGCCUUUAAAUAUCAGUGUUCCAGAAUUCUGCUGCUCCAUUCUGCAGUUGGCUUGUUGUGUGACACUGUAUAGUAUGUUGUAGCACAGGCCUUUAAUUUCUUUUUCUCUUUUAUCUUUCAUGUUGAGAAGGUCUUUCCUGAGCCAAUCCUCUGCCAUUCUUUCCCUUCCCUGUUUGUUCUGUGUUUGCAUUCUAUUACUUUUUCUUUACUGUAGAUUUUUACAUUCAUACUAUUAUUCUGUUUUUCAGCAGGGAUUUCCCUGUUUUUUUUAAAAAAAUCCUUUUUCAGCAAUGGAAAUUCCGUUACAACAAAUGUAAUUGUUACAUCUCUUUUUUUCAGUUACUGUUUUCUUGACAGCUUUGUUGACUAAAGAGAUUGAGAUCACAAUGUUCUCAUACAUUUUUCUACUACUUUAUAUUUAAAGUCUCUCAGGAUCGAUCCAUAUGUAGGCACAUAGAAUUAGACUUCCCUGUCUCCAUGGCAUCCAUUUAAACACCUGGAAUUGUUUUACCAAGGGCCAUUGUUACUUGGUGAAUGGGAUAAGUUGUAAUAGGAAGGAGUCCUUGAAAACUGAGUGGAACAACUUUUGUGAAUGAAGCUUUUUUUUUUCUUUUGCUCACGGAAGCCAGAUUCUUAAUCCAAUCUAUUGUUUUUUAGUCAUGUGUAACUGGACAUUUUUUAAGUUUUUCGCAUAUUACUUUAAGCAUUGGAAGUGUUAAUGGUUUUAUUUAGAGCUUUGGUAUUUUUUGUUUUUAAGCCUCACCAUAGUUUUUAGUGGUGUAUAACAGGGGUUCGGAACCCCCGGUCCGUGGCCUGGUGAUGGUUCGUGCCCAUGGCAGGACCGGGCUGCAGAGACAGAUCUCCCACCGGCACGAACCCCACCAGCACGCACGGGUGCCCCACACAUGCACGCAAGCACGCCCUGUGGCACGAACCCCACCGGCAUGCACGGAUGCCCCACACAUGCACGCAAGCACGCCCUGCCCUGCCCACCCAUGAGCACGGGGGU
rnacentral:lncRNA from 1 species